rnacentral:lncRNA from 1 species
UUUAAGAGGAGUUUUUUUAGCGUUCAUGUAAUCCUUCCUUUAUUGUUCUUCUUGCAAUGCUUGAGGCUAUUGAGGUGUCUAAAAGAAGAUGGGCUGCAGCUGACACUCAAAUAAUACGUAUCGGGACCGUCUGGCCAGAAUUUUUUAUUUCUUAGCUAUUUUUUUUUUUUGGCUCUUUUUAAAAAUUCUACCUUCAUCUACCUGACUUCUUUUUUUAAUUUUCAAGGAGUGUGCCAGAAUCCAUUUUUCAAAAUCAGCUCUAAAUUUCGCCUGUAGGCGAGGAAUUAAGUUUGCCAGCCAGAGUGCAAAGGGUUUUGAGUUUCGUUAAGUUUUCGCGGAGAUAUCUCAAAAUAACGCAAAAGUUGAACGGGUUCGUGUAAGAUACAGUAGCGGCUCCCAUUUUCGUUGUUGGAGAUCUCUAUAGGCUUGACGGGGUCGCUACCGCUCCUAGUAAUAAGGGAUUAACAAAGAAAUGAUUUGAGAGAGAAGCUCAUGCGUAGUAAGAGCAGACAAAAAGAAAAUGAAUCUACCUCUAUUUUUUUUCUUUCACUCUAACAUAAUUCUGGUUGCUCUUAAAUUUCACAGAUGAGGCAUCAUUCCAAUCCUAGCAGAUAUUCUUAGUGACUUUGUGAAAGAAAAAGUUACCCGCAUCAUCUUGGCUGUAUUCAGGAACUUAAUCAUAAAACCAGAAGAGCCGAACAUUGUAUCGCAAUGGUAUCGAGUAAAGUAUUAAAGCAGCUGAGUAUUUUGAAGAAACGCAAAUUCGAUGAUGAAGACAAUCAGAAGAUAUUCUUGUAGAAGAUAUUCAGUUUCUCAACAAAAAAUUGCAGGCAUUCGUUCAAGAUUUAAGCUCUUUUGAUGCCACUGAAGUAAAAUGUGGGCGACUAAAGUGGUCUCCAGUCCACCGGUCUGCUCAGUUCUGAAGAGAAAAUGCAGCGCGUUUGAAUGAGCACAACUAUGAGCUUCUUCGCUGUCUGGUCCAUUUACUUGAUACUUCUGAGGAUGCUUUGGUGCUCAGCAUUGCAUACUUUGAUGUUGGUGAAUACGUCCGUUAAUAUCAGCGAGGCAAACAGGAGUAUCUAGGAUGCCAGCUGGAAAAAGAGCAAGGAUCAACAACUACUGCAGCGAAAUCUGCAGCUGGAGUAUUCGCUGGUAAGACCUCCAUGUAGCUUGACUGCUUCAGAAAUUAAUCAAAUCUUGUAUUUGAAGAUUAUCAUGUGCUGCAGUCAUAUUCAACACUGAGAUUUUUCCUGCCUAUUAUUAUCAAUACACCAGAUGUGGGUAAAUUUACUGAUGUGACAGUCGAUUGACCUGUAUUCGCCAAAAGCCUGCUAAUUCGAAGUAUGGAUUUUGGUGUCUUCAACGAAGACUUGUUACCAGAAGUAUUGUACCCAGACUCUUAACAAUGAGUCAGUGACGCUGACUUUUUAUAUUGCAUCAUUUAAAAUUACUAAUUGAGGUGAAUCCUUUGUAAUGGGUCAGUUGCGCUGGUCACAGAAGUGUAUUUUGAUGGUUUAAGCUUAUAGAGUGCAAAAAGUAAUAAGUAAUGUCCAGAUGCUUAGUUCUUCCAUCCAGUAUUAAUGGAGAUAUUACCCUUUGAAAAACACAGUGUAUGAUGUCAUCCACUGCCGUAGCUUACACCAUGGUCUCUUCCACCUUUGAUAUUGGUAGCUCUACUUAAAUCACGGAUGAAACCAAGGUGGAAGAAACUAUAGUAUGCACUACUGUGAUAGAUGACGUCAUAUGCCAAGCUAUUUGAAGAGGGAUAUCUCCGCUGGUAUUGGACAAGACAAUUUGGGGUUUAGACAGAUCUUGUCAUU